AGCCUUCAUAGCCAGCAUGACUUGGGGCAUACGCUGUCUCCCAAAGACUUGGGGUAAUCCCAGCAGCUCAUUAUUUCUAAUUACUCUAUAUCUAAAAGUAAUGCUGAGCUCACUGCACAAACCAGCCAAAGGAGGGAGGGUUUGUGGGGUGCUGUUUGCCUACACAGCACUGGGAAGAGAUUUUUUUGGAAGCUCAGUGUGGAGCUAUGAAGUACUGUGUAAACCCCUCAAUCUAUCCCCAAGGAGCUUCAAGUGAAACAGAAAAGUA
rnacentral:lncRNA from 1 species